rnacentral:rRNA from 1 species
AUUGAACGCUGGCGGCAGGCCUAACACAUGCAAGUCGAGCGGAUGAAGGGAGCUUGCUCCUGGAUUCAGCGGCGGACGGGUGAGUAAUGCCUAGGAAUCUGCCUGGUAGUGGGGGAUAACGUCCGGAAACGGGCGCUAAUACCGCAUACGUCCUGAGGGAGAAAGUGGGGGAUCUUCGGACCUCACGCUAUCAGAUGAGCCUAGGUCGGAUUAGCUAGUUGGUGGGGUAAAGGCCUACCAAGGCGACGAUCCGUAACUGGUCUGAGAGGAUGAUCAGUCACACUGUAACUGAGACACGGUCCAGACUCCUACGGGAGGCAGCAGUGGGGAAUAUUGGACAAUGGGCGGAAGCCUGAUCCAACCAUGCCGCGUGUGUGAAGAAGGUCUUCGGAUUGUAAAGCACUUUAAGUUGGGAGAAAGGGCAGUAAGUUAAUACCUUGCUGUUUUGACGUUACCAACAGAAUAAGCUCCGGCUAACUUCGUG